GAUUGUGGAUGCCGAUUUUGAGCACGAGAGAACACACAAAGCCGCCUGAAGCCAUCUGAAGCCAUCCGUUGUCGAUGCUGGCGUUUGAGGCGGGUAAAUCGUGUGCCACCCAUCUGAAGCCGUCUGCCGUUGAUGCUGGCGUUCGAGGCAUGGAGUGUCCAGUCGGUUUAGUGCAGCCGCGUGGGUUUUGAUUCGCGUUCGGCGAGUGGGUUUCCGGUGUGGGUGUUUUUCGGGCAGAUUAAUUCCAGUUUCAGGGGCUGUCUUUCGCGGGUGUGUCUCGCUUUCAGGGACGUUGUUGUCCAUGGAUCUCUCGGUAUCGGUGGGUGUUUUUGGGCAAUGGUAGGGUUUGGUUUACCUAGUUUUUCCUCUUAAAUUUCAUUUUAUUUCCUAUAAUUUGGGAUUUUUCCAAUUCUAGUUCCUACUUUUAAAUAUUUAAUUUGUGAUUUGGGUUAUAAUUAAGCAUCUUUUGUAAUGAUUUGCUUCUUUAAAUGUUUGAUGAUGAAAUUGAUUUUGAAGUAUUGGAUGGAGUUGAGUUACUGUCCAAUAGAUUUGAGAUCGAUCUUCGCAAGGUUUUGGUAAGUUUGGAGAUUAGUAUUAAUAGUUAUUUGUUAACCGUUGAAGUAUUGGUCUAAUAAUUGAGUUAUUUUCAAUUUUUUAUGUUCAAUUAAAAAAUUUCAAGGGAUUGAAGCCACUGUCCAACAAAGUUAACGACCUUUUUUGAUGUUUUGAUAGGUUGGAUUACUUUGUUGUAGUUUUGAAGUGGCAUUCGAAUCAAGUCAAACUUUGGGUAAUCUAUUUGGAGUUAAUCGGUUACUUUAGUGAAUGAAAUUUUGAAGAAAUUUUUUAUUGCUUGUAGAUAAGAUUGGACUUUCAAUAUUCUCUUCGCUCAUUGAUGCCUGUAUUAGUUUUCUAUUAAAGAUGCAUUUUGAUUGCCUUAGGAUUACAACUAAGUCGUUUUCGCUUGAAAGUUUUGAAAAUUGUGAAAGUUGGGAGAAA